UACGAAGGGGGCUAGCGUUGUUCGGAAUCACUGGGCGUAAAGCGCACGUAGGCGGCUCUUUAAGUCAGGGGUGAAAUCCCGAGGCUCAACCUCGGAACUGCCUUUGAUACUGGGGAUCUCGAGUCCGGGAGAGGUGAGUGGAACUGCGAGUGUAGAGGUGAAAUUCGUAGAUAUUCGCAAGAACACCAGUGGCGAAGGCGGCUCUCUGGGACGGUACUGACGCUGAGACGCGAAAGCGUGGGGAGCGAACAGG
rnacentral:rRNA from 1 species